AAAAACAGUGAAAAAGAAACUGAAAAUUAUCAAGAACCGAAGCGUAAAAGGAAGGCAGGCAACAAGAAGUCAAUUAAGAACCAAGGUAAGCCUGAGAAGAAGCCAGAGGAUUGGUUCAAAAAAAAAUCAAUAUUUUUCAACUUGCCAUAUUGGGAACUUAACAAGUUAAGGCACAAUCUCGAUGUAAUGCACAUAGAAAAGAAUGUGUUUGAUAAUUUAAUUGGAACGUUGUUGAAUAUUGAUUCUAAAACAAAGGAUGGCCUAAAUGCACGGCUUGACUUGGCAGAAAUUGGUGAAAAUGGAAUUCGACAUGAUCUUCAUCCUGUUGAAGAUAAUAAUGGAAAAACAGUAUUGCCUGAUGCACCAUUUACUAUGUCUAGAAAACAGCAAGAAGUACUUUGUUCAGUGAUGCAUAAUAUUAGGACUUCCGAUGGAUAUGCAUCAAAUUUUUCUAGGCAUGUCAACAUGAAAGAUUGUACAAUCUCAGGUCUCAAAAGCCAUGAUUGUCAUGUUAUUCUGGAAGAUAUUCUUCCUCUAGCACUUCGAUCCUGUUACCCGCACAAAGAGGUCAUGACAGUAGUUAUCGGGCUGUCUAAUUUCUUCAAGAAGCUAUGCUCGAAAGUGUUAGAUGUCUCUGAGCUUGACAAACUUCAAGAGAGUAUUGUGAUGACACUUUGCAAUAUGGAGAGAAUUUUUCUUCCAUCAUUCUUUACUAUCAUGGUGCAUUUAAUGGUGCACUUGGUUGAAGAAGUUAAACUUGGUGGUCCAGUGCACUAUCGAUGGAUGUACCCUCUGGAGAGAUCAUUUGUCCGGCUGAAAGCACUUGUGCGCAAUAGAGCAUUUCCUGAAGGUUCAAUUGCCGAAGGGUAUCUUGCCCAAGAAUGCUUGACCUUUUGUUCAAGAUUUCUAGAAGGAACUACACGUUUUACAAGACCAUCAAGAAACCCUGCUCCGUCAGAAAAGAUAAAAGAUUUGUACAUGUUCAAUAGUGCUGGUGAACCAAUUGGAAAGGCUAUCCCGGUUGGGCAGUUUAAUAGCCGUCUUCUAAUUCAAGCACAUCGAUAUGUCUUACGACAUUGUGAUGAACUUGCAGAUUUCCGCAAAGAAUUUGUGGCCGAAGAGAAUAGCAAACGAUGUGAGUCAGCUAAAUUGACAGAAGCUGAUAGCACUAAGUUAAUUAAUGGACACUUUGCUGACUGGUUGGAACAAAAGGUUUUACAAAGUGAUGGGCCAAAUAUAACAGAAAAGGUAAGAGCUUUGGCUGCAAAGCCAAAGAGAUAUGGGGUGCGCUACAGUGGCUAUGUCAUCAACGGCUUCAGGUUUCACACGAUGAGUCAUGACUCAGGGCAUGUCACACAAAAUAGUGGUGUAGUGAACAUUGCAGAAAAUGGUGUUCGAUAUUAUGGCAGAUUAACUGACAUAUUUGAAUUGUCCUAUAAUGAUUACAAGGUGGUGUUCUUUAAUUGUGAUUGGUAUGAUGUCUACCACAAAGUUGGCAUUCAAACCGAUGAGUUUGGGUUCAUUCUUGUGAACAAGUCUCGGAAAAUACACACAGGAGAUCAGUUAGAGGAUGAUCCUUUUGUAUUUUCUUCCCAGGUGCAGCAGGUUUUCUAUGUUCAAGAUCCAAAAGCUGAACUAUGGAAUGUAGUAGUGGAAGUCAGG
rnacentral:rRNA from 1 species